rnacentral:rRNA from 1 species
GGCCUACCAUGGUGGUAACGGGUAACGGGGUGUUAGGGCACGACACCGGAGAGGGAGCCUGAGAAACGGCUACCACAUCCAAGGAUGGCAGCAGGCGCGCAAAUUACCCAAUCCCGACAUGGGGAGGUAGUGACAAUAAAUAACAAUACGGGGUCCUUUCGGGUCUCGUAAUUGGAAUGAGUACAAUUUAAAUCUCUUAACGAGGAACAAUUGGAGGGCAAGUCUGGUGCCAGCAGCCGCGGUAAUUCCAGCUCCAAUAGCGUAUAUUAAAGUUGUUGCAGUUAAAAAGCUCGUAGUUGAAUUUCGGGAUCAUCAUGUCGGUCGUGCCUCCGGUACGUACUGGCAUCGUUGAUUUCUACCUUCUGACGAACCAUGAUGUCAUUAAUUUGGUGUCAUGGGGAAUCAGGACUGUUACUUUGAAAAAAUUAGAGUGUUUAAAGCAGGCACACGCUUGAAUACAUUAGCAUGGAAUAAUGAAAUAGGACGUUUGACCCUAUUUUGUUGGUUUCUAGGAUCGACGUAAUGAUUAAUAGGGAUAGUUGGGGGCAUUAGUAUUCAAUUGUCAGAGGUGAAAUUCUUGGAUUUAUUGAAGACUAACUACUGCGAAAGCAUUUGCCAAGGAUGUUUUCAUUAAUCAAGAACGAAAGUUAGGGGAUCGAAGACGAUCAGAUACCGUCGUAGUCUUAACCAUAAACUAUGCCGACUAGGGAUCGGAUGAUGUUAAUUUUUUAAUGACUCAUUCGGCGCCUUACG